UGAGUGCGAGCUGCUACGGCAGCGAAGUUGGUGACGUCAUGCUUCCAAGAAAAGCCCUAUACCCGUUAAGGCAUCAUGGCCUGUACCCGAAACCGACACAGGUGGGGUGGUAGAGAAUACCGAGGGGCGCGAGGUAACUCUCUCUAAGGAACUCGGCAAAAUGGCCCCGUAACCUCGGGAGAAGGGGUGCCACCGCAAGGUGGUCGCAGUGAAGAGGCCCAGGCGACUGUUUACCAAAAACACAGGUCUCCGCUAAGUCGCAAGACGAUGUAUGGGGGCUGACGCCUGCCCAGUGCCGGAAGGUUAAGGAAGCUGGUCAGCGCAAGCGAAGCUAGCGACUGAAGCCCCGGUGAACGGCGGCCGUAACUAUAACGGUCCUAAGGUAGCGAAAUUCCUUGUCGGGUAAGUUCCGACCCGCACGAAAGGCGUAACGAUCUGGGCGCUGUCUCGGAGAGAGGCUCGGCGAAAUAGAAUUGUCUGUGAAGAUGCGGACUACGUGCACCCGGACAGAAAGACCCUAUGAAGCUUUACUGUAGCUUGGUAUUGUGCCCGGGCUCGCAAUGCGCAGGAUAAGUGGGAGGCUUUGAUCAUCGGCUUGCGGGUCGAUGUGAGCCAACGGUGAGAUACCACUCUUUGCGAGCUAGGGUUCUAACGGCCACCCGUCAUCCGGGGGCCGGACAGUACCUGGUGGGCAGUUUGACUGGGGCGGUCGCCUCCUAAAAGGUAACGGAGGCGCGCAAAGGUUUGCUCAGGCUGGUUGGAAAUCAGCCGACGAGUGUAAAAGCAGAAGCAAGCUUGACUGUGAGACCAACAAGUCGAACAGGGAGGAAACUCGGCUUUAGUGAUCCGACGGUUCUGAGUGGAAGGGCCGUCGCUCAACGGAUAAAAGUUACCCUAAGGAUAACAGGCUGAUCUCCCCCAAGAGUUCACAUCGACGGGGAGGUUUGGCACCUCGAUGUCGGCUCAUCGCAACCUGGGGCUGAAGUCGGUCCCAAGGGUUGGGCUGUUCGCCCAUUAAAGCGGUACGCGAGCUGGGUUCAGAACGUCGUGAGACAGUUCGGUCCAUAUCCGGUGCACGCGCAGGAAUAUUGAGAGGAUUUCUCCCUAGUACGAGAGGACCGGGAGGAACGCACCUCUGGUGUACCAGUUAUCGUGCCAACGGUAAACGCUGGGUAGCCAUGUGCGGAGUGGAUAACCGCUGAAAGCAUCUAAGUGGGAAGCCCACCUCAAGAUGAGUACUCCCAUGGCGUAAGCCAGUAAGGUCACGGGAAGAACACCCGUUGAUAGGCUCUAUGUGGAAGCGCAGUAAUGCGUGAAGCAGAGGAGUACUAAUAGACCGAGGGCUUGAC
rnacentral:rRNA from 1 species